rnacentral:hammerhead_ribozyme from 1 species
ACCCAGAUGACGAGUCCCGAAUAGGACGAAAUACCCGUCCUAGAU